rnacentral:rRNA from 1 species
GACGAACGCUGGCGGCGUGCCUAAUACAUGCAAGUAGAACGCAGUUGCGAACGGGUGAGUAACGCGUAGGUAACUGCCUGGUAGCGGGGGAUAACUAUUGGAAACGAUAGCUAAUACCGCAUACUACCAGAUGGACCUGCGUUGUAUUAGCUAGUGGGUGGGGUAACGGCUCACCAAGGAAACGAUACAUAGCCGACCUGAGAGGGUGAUCCGCCAAAAUGGGACUGAGGCACGGGCCAGACUCCUACGGGAGGCAGCAGUAGGGAAUUUUCGGAAAUGGGGGGAACCCUGACCGAACAACGCCUCGGGAGUGAAGGAGGUUUUCGGAGCGUAAAGCUCUGUUGUGAAGGAAGCGGUACUUAACCAGAAAGGGACGGCUAACUACGUGCCAGCAGCCGCGGUAAUUC